rnacentral:rRNA from 1 species
UACGGAGGGGGCUAGCGUUGCCCGAAGUUACUGGGCGUAAAGCGCGCGUAGGCGGGUUGGUAAGUCCGCUGUGAAAGCCCGGAGCUUAACUCCGGAGGGUCGGUGGAUACUGCCAGUCUUGAAGGUGCUAGGGGGAGAUGGAAUUACCGGUGUAGCGGUGAAAUGCGUAGAUAUCGGUAGGAACACCAGUGGCGAAGGCAAUCCCCUGGGCCUGCACUGACGCUCAUGCACGAAAGCGUGGGGAGCAAACAGG